UGUGUGUUGUUUGUUCUGUCACUUUUAAAACAUCUUGGAUCCUGGAUGACCAACCCACUGGCUACAGAGAAAGCUUAUAGAUGUGAAUUGUGAGACCACCUUCGCAGUUGAAGUGGCUGGUUGUCCUGUUAAAGAUGUGCCAACACAGCCCUGGCCUAUUGGAAGGAGUGACUGAUAUCAUAUAAUUAAAGAGCAACUUAAACUCAGCUGAGUUGUUAAAUUCUGUCUUCAUUAAUUAAUAGUGUGCACCUUUUAUGUUUGUUAUUUUGUGUAUUGCAAUUGUAUCCUGGUCAAGACAUUAAAGCUUGUGAGCA